CCAAUUUCGGGGGACUUCGGUCCCUGUCUGAACCCUUGUCUUUUGAGUACCAUUUGUUUCCUUGGUAGGCUUUGCCUACCAAUAGGACACCACUUAACCUCUUGUAAUUGCAAUCAGCGUCAGAAAAACAUAAUAGUUA
rnacentral:misc_RNA from 2 species